rnacentral:rRNA from 1 species
CUACGGGUGGCAGCAGUGGGGAAUCUUGCGCAAUGGGCGAAAGCCUGACGCAGCGACGCCGCGUGGGUGAUGAAGGCCUUCGGGUCGUAAAGCCCUGUCGUGAGGGAAGAAUGCAUAGCAAUAUGAUUGACGGUACCUCACAAGAAAGCACAGGCUAACUCCGUGCCAGCAGCCGCGGUAAUACGGAGUGUGCAAGCGUUGUUCGGAAUCACUGGGCGUAAAGCGCGUGUAGGCUGUGAUAUAAGUCGGGUGUGAAAGCCCUGGGCUCAACCCAGGAACUGCAUCCGAAACUGUAUCACUUGAGUGCGGGAGGGGAUGGCGGAAUUCCGAGUGUAGAGGUGAAAUUCGUAGAUAUUCGGAGGAACACCCGUGGCGAAGGCGGCCAUCUGGACCGAUACUGACGCUGAGACGCGAAAGCGUGGGGAGCAAACAGUAUUAGAACCCUUGUAGUC